CUUAUGCUUAUAGUAUGAUAUUCGCAUUUCUUCUACAGUCUCACUUUUCUCCCACUCCCAUCUAUAUGAUGCCGAAGUCUGGCUGGGCACAAAAUCAGGAGCCACUCAAGCAGGAACAAACUUUAUUUCUGAACUCCACCGAAUGCGAACCACUCGGGCCUUUUCAGGAACACCACACACCAACCGGAACUCCCUCCACCGGAAUUUCACCAACCAACCAACUCAAACUCUCCUGGAAUCCCCGUGAGAACUCCAAAGUAGGGGGGGCACCCGAGGGGGACAGCAGGGGUCUAUAUACAAUUGAAUACACAGCCUGUUUCAAUCCAGCAUCAUCCAGUCACAGCAAUUAUAGACAGCUUAAUUAUCAUCAUCUUAAUGUGUCGCCUCUCAACCAUUACUUCUGGCAAAAUGCCAGGGGCCAUCCCCACUCGGCUGUGGCUCUCAGCAAUAUGAUCCAAUACAAUUUCUCUCUUAUUCCUGAGAUAAAGUAUAUUACUCAGACCUGGCCAAUCAGACUACUGAUUUCCUCUAGAGAGUAAUUUGAUCUAGGAUGGACAUGUGACCCCCAUUGCUCCAGUAAGAAUGAAAUCUAGGACUAGGACAGCCACAUCAAUAUUUAUAGCAGCACAAUUCACAAUAUCUAACCUAUGGAACCAACCUAGGUACCCUUCAACAGAUGAAUGGAUAAAGAAAAUGUGGUAUAUAUACACAAUGGAAUAUUUCUCAUCUUUAAAGAAGAAUGACUUUAUAUGACAUUUUCCAGCAAAUGGAAGGAUCAGGAGACUAUCAUGCUAAGAGAAAUAAGCCAAUUCCCCACAAAAACAAAGGUUGAAUGGCCUCUCUGAUAUGUGGAUGCUGACAAAAAAGGGGAGAGGAAACGGAGGGUAAAAAUAGAAGUUCAGUGUAUUACAAAAGGAAAUGAAGAGAAGGGAGAGGGGAUAGGAAUAGGUAAGACAGUGGAAUGGAUCUGACAUAACUUUCCUAUGUACAUAGAUGAAUAUACCACAGUGAAUCUCAACAUCAUGUACAGCCAUAAGACUGGGAUCUUAAUUAGAAUAAUAUAUACUCCUUAUUUGUACAAAUACAUCUAAAUAGGCUCUACUGUCAUGUAUAUCUAAGGAGAACAAAUUUUUUAAAAAUGAAAAUUUGGAUGUGGGUGUGGAUCACUGGUUAAGUGUCUCUGUACCCCCAGUAUCAACAGGAAAAAGAAAAAAAAAAAUCUGCUAUCAAAAGCUUGUCUUUGCUGUGCUUCAUUCAAAUUUUAUUGACCCUCAGACCUAUUUGUCACUACAGAAAUCAAGAUGAUAAAUACUUCAUAUAAUUAAAUAAUUUAUAUUAUCAUAACAGGAGUAAUACAUGUUUUACUAAUAUAUCCCUUUUUGCCAUCACAUAGAAAUAUUUUGGAGUAAGCUGACUUGUUUGUGUCCUUUGGAUAAAAAUUGUGCUGAAACCAGCCAUUUUGUCAAAUUAUUCCAACAAUACUAAUGACUUUAAGUCAUAAGUUAAAAAAAUAUCUCUUGAAGAACAUGGGAUUCUGAUUAUAACUUACAUUAAAAUGUUUUACUUACAUUAAAAUGAUUAAGCAACAUCUGAUACAGGCAAAUUUCAAUCCAUACAUAAAUUAAUACAUAUGUUUCUAACAUUUAAUGAUCUGCAACAUAAAAUUAUAUAUUUGGUCUUCCAUUGAACCGGAUGUUACACUUUCUUUCUCUUAAACAAUAUUCUUAUGGUUUAAAUAUGAGAUGUCCUCCAAAAGUUUAUGUGUAAGACAAUGCAAGAAAGUUUAGAGGUAAAUUGAUCAGAUUAUGAGAGUUUGUUUAACCUAAUCAGUUCAUUAAUCCACUGAUAAGGAUUAACUGGGUGGUGACUAUAGGCAGGUAGGGUAUGUCUGGAGAAAGUAGUCAUUGGGAGCAUGCCUUUGGGGUUUAUAUUUUGGGCUGGGCAAGUGGAGCUCUCUCUGCUUUCUGAUGUUCAUGUCCUGAGUUUAGUUUUCUCUGCCACACCCUUCAGCCAUGAUGUUCUGCCUCACCUCCGCAUAAAGCAAUGGAGUCAGUCAUCUAUGGACUGAGAUCUCUGAAACCAUGAGUCAAAUAAACCUUUCUUUCUCUAAAAUUGUUCUUGUCAGAUCUUUUGGUCACAGUGGCAAAAAAGCUGACUAAAACAAAUAUGUUUAUUUAACAUUUCAUCUUCCCAUUCUUAUAUUUAUAAGGAAUGAUUUGUUCCCCCUACUUUAUGAAAGUCAGAUAAAUUCCAAGGUUUAGUCCUAAAGUACCCAGAAUUCAGCUGGUAAUGUCAGAAAGAUGAGAGUUAAACAGAAGGAAGCAGAGAACUUGGAAAACAAAAAGGAAAGAAAUGAGGAAUUAAACUUAUAACUUUAAGAAAAAUAUUAGACUGGUAUAGCCCAGUGGAAGAGCAUUUGCCUAAAACACAUGAAGCCCUGAAUUCAAUUCCCAGUAUGCAAAAGGCAAAGGGAGGGACUGGGGUUGUGGCUCAGUGGAAGCACACUUGCCUAGCAUGUGUGAGGUACUGGGUUAGAGUCUCAGCACCGCAUAUAAAUAAAUAAAUAAAUGUCCAUCAGCAACUAAAAAAUAGAUACUUAAAAAUAAAAAGGAAAAGGGAAAGUAUUUAGGCACUUAAUGAUAUAUAGAAAUACAGUGGACAUUUAAUCUUAUUCUCUCCUGUGUUAGAACUAGUUCAGUACUCAUUCAGAGCUGAGAGAACAGAUAAAAUUAAGCAAAACACGUCAAGUUCUUUUUUCCUUCAGAUACAAGUAAAUUUACUAGGCCUGUUUUAUAAAAUUUGCAAAUCAAUAAUACUUUAAUCACUGUCAGUUAAAACCACAGUGGCUCUUCUUCUCUGUACUGGAAUGGUUGCAGGCUUCUUGGGGAUUUGCCUAAGGGAAACUGUUACAAAACAUUUUGGCUUUGGUGGCAUAUAUUUAUGUCAUCCAUAAAUAUUUCCCUAAAGAAUUUUUGCUAGCCAUCCUGGUGUAGGAAUGACUUUCAGGAAUCUUCCUACACCCCAUUGUACAGACCCACCCAAAAACUUAACCCAAAUACACCACUGACAAAUUGGUUAAUGAGUGCUAUCAGACCAAGACAUCUUGAAAUGUCCUGAAAUUCUACAGUUCAUCUAUGAAAGAAACUUGAUAAUGGUUUCCCAAACUUAGCAACAAUAUUAAAAUUGUACAUGAACCUUAUCAACAAGGAAUUGUAAAGCUGAAACAUUCCUAAACUUGUAAUAAGAAUAAGCAAGUUUAAAUCACCUAUGUUAGAGGAAAUGCUGAAUUAUCUUCCUAUUCCCUAGAAUAAAAAUUAUAUUCUGAAAUUAUUGUCAUAGGAAAAGAUAAUCCAUGAUUAUGCAGCUAAAAAGUAUAAGGAAAAAAGUGUUAGAUAGAGACUUAUUAUGAAGUUCAUUGAUUAAAAGCAUUUUGUUAAUUUUCUAGAUUUUAAGAUCUUUGUGAUAUUUUUCAGCCUCUUGAGAUUUGUGAUUUGUUGUGACUUCCAUUAUCUUUCUGACCAAAUAUUACAUGCAUAAUUUUGUAUUUCUUUUCUUAAAGAAGCUUCCUCCUGGGCAACCCACUUGGGAUCCCUCUCUUCUUGGAGCUGCUCUUCUUCUCUGUUUAACAAAAGAAAGAAAUUCUGUCACUUUACUCAAAGGAAAAAAAAAAAGAGAGAGAGAAAAUACUUCCUCCCUACAACCCCAAAUUGUAUAAACUGCAGGAUACACAAAAUCAAGAUUCACAUAUGCCUUCAAAAUAAAUAUCAAUAUAAUUCUAAUGGAAUGCAAAGUAUAAAAUCACAUCUAUGAUUCAGAGGUUUCCAAAUACCUAUGUGAUUUGCUGAAUUUUUAAAAAUAUUUCAUCAAAAUGUUUAGUAUCAUAUUGCCAUAAUCAAUGACUGGCAUUCUAAGAAUAAACACAUAAGGAUCAAAUUUAUAAUUUCUGCAGAUUACCCAGGUAGUGAAACAUUUGUUUGAAGUUUCA
rnacentral:lncRNA from 1 species